GUUCCUGGACAGAUCUAUACCAGGAAAACAGAAAAGUGUGAAAUAUAGCCGUGAAGGCAUAUGAAAUGGGUUGCUGACACAAGACUAAACCUACUUCUCUCUUCAGAAAUCUUCAGUGUUUUCUUAUCUGGACAUACCUUCUGUAUUCAAAGCUCCAAGAGUUGCUAGUCUGGCAGCUUUUAAUCCAAAACCCAAAUAGCUGCAAAAACAAAGCAAAACAUGACAGUUUUUAAUUCUUGCACUUCUGCUAUGUUUCAUCCAUAGCCCCCCGGAACACUCAAAUCAAAUUUCCUUUCUUUGUUUCCCACCGUUCUGUGCAAAGGAAAUAAAGAGUUCUUUUUGCCUGACUCCAAGUCCCAGAAGUACAAAUGCCAAAACACAUUAUGCUGUAAGAUGGGUAAAUGUAAAACUGCAGAAAGUGGUUUGAGUUGGUGUGACGUUUCUACAAGGCAUUAAUUGAAAAGUAAAAAUACAUUAGUGCUAAAAACCAGGGAUAAAUAAAGUUAUGUGAGGAGUGCAGGGGAAUAGCAUGGCCGUUCCUAUGUCAUGUGCAUAAGACUGUGCUCUUCACAGAACUAACCAAACUGGAGCAUGUCCCACUAAAAUGAAGAUGCGUCUUCCUAUGAAGUUCACAUUUGACUUCACAGAAUACCACUAUGCUACAAGCUAGGAAUGUGAAUAGCACUUAUGAGAAUAUCAUUACGUGUUACUGGCUUUAAUAAUGCAGCUAGAUUAAAAACCUGCUGGCCUUUCAUUUCCAUUUGUCUUUGGCCACCCUAUCCCUUUAGUAACGGUAAUGCAAGUUUUUACAUAACAAUCAGGGUUAAAUUAAUCUUUAUCUUCCUCAUUUUUAUGAGAUUAUUUUAAAUCCCAACUAUUUCAAGCGAUAUAAUUUACUUUAUUGGUAAAUACAGCAAUCAGUUACUUUCAUAAAUACAAGCAGUGUGAGAGGAGGACUACUGAACCAGUUUUGCUGUCAAGUAAACGUAUUCUGCAAUUAACUGAAAUGACGUUAAUCACACCAGUAGUUGUGGGCUGAGAUAAACUCUAUCAUGCAUGGUUGGGUUCUUCACUGGACUGUAUAAAUCAUGCAGGGAAACUCUGGGUAUCACUGCAGACAUCUCAGAUACCUUUUUGCUUAAUUCAGUAAGCACAGUUCCAUUCUUUCAGGCCACGAAUCCCCCUAGCUGGCUCAAGAGUCUGUGCUCCUUGUUGUGUGUGAGCUGUCUCACUGUCUAGUUGGUUUACAUCAGUCUAAGUUUUACUUUUUAUCUGGUUACUGAAGAGAUGGGCUAUUUGGAAUCGAGAACUAGGAAUUUAAUUAAUUUAAUUGAAUUCUGACCACUGGCACAACAUCUAUCAUUCUGUUUCUUUCGGAAUAUGUGGCUUAAACCGAGUAAUAAACAUUCUUAAACAGAGUACUCAUAAUGCUUCCUUUUCCUUUGAUGGACUAUUAUUACUUUGCAGUGAUAAUAACCUGGAGUAUUUCCAGCCUACUGUCAUGUUUCAGUUCAACUAAUGUUUCAAGCAGGUAGAAAGUGUAAUAAAUAAAUCGUGGUCCUAACAGCUGGCAAUAGGAUAACACAAACAUUUCUGUUCUCAGAGGCUGCAGACAGAUUGAUUCUCCCACUACAGCCAGCAGCCUUUUUGCUCCUCACCUGUGAGUGUAGAGCUUGUAGGUGCUGUUAAACAUUUCAAAUGAGAGGCCUGGAAUCUGGAAUCCCUGAGGUCUUAAUCCCUUAAUCUUUCCUCUGCUUCCUCUAAGCUCAUCCUCCCACCCCUUCUUAGCUCCAAGUCUUCAUAUCAGACACUGCUGCUCUGGGCCAAACAGCAGAAUCUCAGAGGACCGAACCUUCAGAGUCACUGCUGCUGCCAUUCCAGUAACCAGACAGAGCAAAAGACAGAUCUGCAAUUACAGAGCCCUGGACAGCAGCCUGCCUGACGCUGAAAGACGUUUGGCAGUAUUUAGCUUAAGUCUCUCCUGAACAAAUACAGACUGCUCAGGUUAUAGGAGGAAAAAAGCCUCUGCAAAUCAAGGGACAAAAUUCUGUCACGUGGGCAGAAUUCUUCAGAAGCAUCCUGAGCUAUAUAUGUGCUUUUUGGUGUGAAAUUGAUAACACGGGCUUGAAGCAGGCAUAGCAUACAAGCAGGAUACAUGAACCCUUACUCCAGACCACUCUACUAUUCGUACUGUUGGUCCUCAUCAGAAGCAAACCUUCAAGGCCUCUUCCUGCAAAGCCAUAAGGAGAAGUUUGAGCUCAGUCCAGUCUCCUUUAACAGCUCUAUUUAGUCUCUAAAACCCUGACACAUAACACCCUUUCAUGUUGGUCCAGUGCCCAGUUCAGCAGGUGUUAUCAGCACAAAACAGAAGGCAAGCCCGGAGUACUUGAGGCUCUGCAGAACACGAUAAGGUUGCACAUCAGGUUUCAACAUCACCCAUCAUGGCAGAACUAAAAUAUUCUGAUAUGAAAACUGUGUGUUUAGUAGUCCCCAAACACCUGCUUGAGAAUUUCCAUUCUUGUGAACAAAAUAUGUUAAACUACUUCAGAAAUAGCAAGAGGGACAAGAACAACUUGGCAAUAUGGAGGUACUGAAUGCUGUAGCGUCCUUCCACUGUUUAAUAUCCAUGUAAUUUUCCCAUGCAAUCUUCAUACUUGGGUCCCCAUUCAGACUGUUUCUAAGGAGAUACAGAAAUUCUGAAAAAUCCAGCAGAGAUGGGGAGAUUCCCUCAGAGACAAGAAUUCUCCCAGGAAACGAGAAGGAAUAGAUAAGUAAACAAAGAGGGAGUAGAUGUGCUAUUAGAAAGAAAAACAUUUGCUCCAUUAGACAGCAGCCCCACCCUGCCACUAGUUAGUGAGGACCUGCUAUCAGACUGGAAUGGAAAAAAAAUAACAACUCAGAAGAGUUCACUGUAAUAUGUAAGAAUACUCCCUAAAAAUAUGCUGCAUUUAUUGAAUGCAAAGUAAUUGUCUGCAUUCAUGGGGAUUUUCCAGCCUGAGUCUAGAAAACAAAGGCUAAUUCUCUUUGGUUUUACACAUUUGCUUUCUUUCUUUUUCCUUCCUACUUAUGCAGCCUCCUUUGUUUGCAAGUGCCUAUCAGCCAACUGCUGAUGUCAAAGGGAAAGGCUGUGCAGAUGUUCAGUACAUCAGAGAUGUUCUGCUUGUGCCAGAGCUGACAAAAUGAGAGCACAGAGCCCAGCUGUGCCCAGGUCUUCCCACUGGCAUUGUGGUCUUGACUCGAAUGUUUACAGCCACUCCUCACCUCAAACCGUGGCAGAAACGUGAUCUGGGUUGAGGCUCCUCCCAAGUCCAGGGUCCCAACAGUGUGCUGGUUCUGGCCAGACAGCUGCCCUGCAAACCACAUCAUGUUCAGAACAGCCUAAAGUGGCAAAAUGCUAUAAUGUGGAUACUGCACGUACGCUCAGGCAACCGAGGAGUUUCCACAUUAUCAUAGCAAUACAGGAAGGCUGAGUGGGCCUUCAAAGACAAAAACCAUCAGAGAAAUGUUGUCAUAAAGAAGGUAUUAAGAAAAUUUCUUCUCUGACUCAAAUUUCACAUCCGAAGAGACAAAAGCAGGUGAAUGUUUGGAUAUACAUGAAAAGCUGAAAGAAAGAGACAUAAUAGCUCCUGUAGAAGAUUGUCAGGGACAGUGCAUAAAUUCUGUAACUACCAUAGAGCUCAUCAAGAACAGUAGGAGAAUAAGGAUAUACAGUAAGAGCAGAACAAACUGUUACCAUUUCUCUUCACCCAGAACAGCUAUUUUUUAAUUUUUUUCUUUGUUUGUUUACCCACAUUUCUACUAGAACACUGCUUUUACUUUCUCUUUGCUAGAUUGUACUCUCAGAACUUAUGGGCAUGUAGGGCUAAUGCAUGCUGUUGCCUCACAUUCAUUGUGCAGUUCACAGUGGGAUGAAGAAUACCAUAAAACUCUGUGUUUCCCACCUUCUAACAGGUCAGUGGUUCCAUGCCCCAACAUACAUUACAGAAACCAGCUUGCCAGUGCCUCUCAGUCCUGAGUAAAUCCUGGCACCUUCUGGAUCAAGAUGCCUUCUUGCUACAGGUGGGACUCAGCGUCUGGGACAGAGUCUGCCCAAGUCAAUCCACUGCUUUAGCACUGUUGCCACAGUGGGGAGGUAAAGGAAGGUACAGCAACCAAGGCAGGGGAACACACAGAGAGAUCAUCUCUGCAGAAGAAACUCAAAUUCAAAUUUAAAGAGAAGUUAUACAGAAUUAGCUACCUGUCAAAAAGUUCACAGUGAUCCAGGCUAAAAUUCCUGCAAAGAGUGAAAAAGGAAAAAAAAAAAGUCACCA